rnacentral:lncRNA from 10 species
ACUCGCGCCCCGCCCCCAGAGGACUCCGGUGUCCGGGUCCGGCUGUGGGUACCGGGGUGGUCCCGAUGCUGGCAGAAGUUCAGAGGGCAGGAGGUAGCCUCGCUGUCCAACAAGGCUGCCGCACCGGAUUUGAGGACGGAGGCCGUGUCUCUAUGGAAGCUCCCUCCCCCAACUGCCUCCCUCCAUGCCUGGCUCUGCCAAGCCCAGGGCCUGGGGCUUUGGAGUCCGGGGCCACCGGGGCCACCGCUGGCUCCUAGUUCCAGUUCCACCACUUAGGGACAGCUGCCCUCUGCCAAGUUUCCUAACCUCACCCAGCCUUGGGGCUGUGGUGAGGAUUAAAAGGUAAUAUCUACCAGUAGAGGGGUGGGCAAUUGCAGAAUAGUCAGGCUAUCUGAUAAAAGGACGAGAACCAGGAGAAGAACAUUGCAGGGAAGAGCAUUUCAGGCCUCCCCCCAGGCUGCCCUAAUUUGCUUUUUAAAGAAUUUUGUGACCCAAAUAAAUAUAAUUGGUGGCAUUUCCAUCGGCAUACCAGAUGACCUCUUCAUAU